AUUGAACGCUGGCGGCAGGCCUAACACAUGCAAGUCGAGCGGAUGAGGGUAGCUUGCUAUCUGAUUCAGCGGCGGACGGGUGAGUAAUGCCUAGGAAUCUGCCUGGUAGUGGGGGACAACGUUUCGAAAGGAACGCUGAUACCGCAUACGUCCUACGGUAGAAAGUGGGGGAUCUUCGGACCUCACGCUAUCAGAUGAGCCUAGGUACGAUUAGCUAGUUGGUGAGGUAAAGGCUAACCAAGUCGACGAUCGUUAACUGGUCUGAGAGGAUGAUCAGUCACACUGGAACUGAGACACGGUCCAGACUCCUACGGGAGGCAGCAGUGGGGAAUAUUGGACAAUGGGCGAAAGCCUGAUCCAGCCAUGCCGCGUGUGUGAAGAAGGUCUUCGGAUUGUAAAGCACUUUAAGUUGGGAGGAAGGGCAGUAAGUUAAUACCUUGCUGUUUUGACGUUACCGACAGAAUAAGCACCGGCUAACUUCGUGCCAGCCGCCGCAGUAAGAC
rnacentral:rRNA from 1 species